CACGUGAAAAAAAAAACCACAGAGAAGAGGCUUUAGAACUUGCCUCUGCACACUGGCAGCCUGUUCAAGAUUCUUCUCUGGUUGCUAAAAUAGCACAGGGUGUGAGUGGGGGAGAGGGAGGGCCGACAGAAGAGAAAGAGGAGCUUGUUGGCUCCUUUGGGACCCAGUCACCACUCCCAGUGCGGUGGUGCACCGGGGACGGCAAGCUUCAGAGGGGCCCCUGGGCGGUUUCUGCUUUGUCACUCUGUAUGUGGGGGGAGGGAGAGGAGGCCAUCACUGGUCAUAAAGUCCUUCCUGUGUCACAAGGACCCCUCCCAGUGGCCAGGAUGUGGGGCGGCUGGGUGAAUGAAUGAUGGAUAUUGUUCUGGAGGUGACCUAAGCAGCCGGGAAUGUGGCAGCAGGGGGCUUUAAUGAGCCAUUCAUCAAUGACUCCUUCCUCCAACCCAAAGAGGUAAACCCUGUCUACUCUGGGGCAGUACUGAAUCCGAAGCAAACAUCUUAAGACAGAGCAACCAAGUGGCAUUCCAGUGGGGACAGUGAUGGACUUCCCCCAGAUGACAUCACCCCAGGUCUUCCUUGCCCUUGACAUCUGCACCAUGCAAUCACUUUACUCCGCCACCAGGCUUUGAGGCAAUUUGCUACCCAGCGGUAGAUAACUAACGCAAUAUGGAAGCAGAGUUGCUGUAUCAUAGGUUAACCCACGUUGUAGCCUGUAUCAGUGAGUGUUUCAUCACUUCUUGUCUGAGUAACACUCUAUUUUAUGGAUGUCUCGUAUUUUGUUUAUCCAUUCAUUCUCAAGUUGAUGGACACUUGGGUCAUUCCUACUUAUGCUAUUAUGAAUAAUGCUGCUACGAACAUUCAUGUGUAAGCUUUUGCGCCAACGUGUUUCCAAUUCCCCUGGGUAUAUACCUAGGUGUCUAACUGCUGGAUCAUAUGGCAACUCUAUGUUCAAUCGUUUGAGGAACUACCACGCUGUUUUCCAAAGAGGCUUCAUCAUUUUACAUUCCCAUCAGCAACAUAUGAGCAUUCCAAUUUCUCCACAUCCUUGCCAACACUUGUUAUUAUCUGACUUUUUGAUUAUAGUCUUCCCAGUGGGUGUGAGGUGGUGUCUCAUUUGCAUUUCCCUAAUAAUUAAUGAUGUUGAGCAUCUGAUUAACCUCUUUGGAAAAUGUGUCUUCUAGUCCAUUUUUUAACUGGUUGUCUUUUCAUUGAUAUGUUGCAGGCAUUCUUUAUAUAUUCUGGACACUAGACUCUUAUCAGAUAUAUGAUUUGUAAAUAUUCUCUCCCAUCCUGAAGAUUAUCUUUUUACUUUUACUUUCUGAGUGUCCUUUGAAGCAAAAGUUUUUAAUUUUCACUAAGUCUAAUAUAACUAUUUUUCUUUGGUUGCUUGUGUUUUUGGUGUCCUAUCUAAUAAACAUUGCCUAAUCCAAGAUCA